UUGACGGCGCUGGCAGCUGUCUCUCUUGCAAGGGCAAGCCACACACAAUUGUAAUUGUUAAUUAAAUAUAUAUAAAUCAAAACUUGAACUUGUUGUUGCUGCUGCUGCUGUUGUUGUUGUUGCUGUGGUGCUUCCAUUACUUGUCCAGACAAUGUCACGCCUCAUUGCCAGCGCCCGAAGCGCAUUCAAACGCCAUCCCUUCGUAACCAACAGCGCCAUCUAUGGCAGUCUCUAUGUGGCUGCCGAGUUCUCACAGCAAUAUGUCUCCAAGCGCUGGCUGGCGCAGCCGGAGCAGCGUGAGGAUAUCGAUUAUGCAACUGUAGGACGCUAUGCUGUAAUGGGCACCACACUCUAUGCCCCAUCGCUAUACGCUUGCACCGGCAAGAGCUUUUGUGCAUAAAGCUCCAAGCAAGCACGCUACGCACCAUCAAACGAGGCAUAUGUGCACGUUAAUCCACCAGAUAUGUACAAAUGGCUAGAUGGCACAUUUCCAGGUACACUGAAAUCAACAAUUAUCAAAAAAUUGGUACUGGACCAGUUUGUGUUGA
rnacentral:misc_RNA from 1 species